AAUUAUGGGUCUUAUGAAAUUAUG
rnacentral:siRNA from 1 species